GGAUAUGACAAUUUUGGGUUCACUAUAUCUUGUAGACCUAAAAGUGCACAAGAAUCAGUUGAUGAAUGAGUUCUCAAUAUGUUGUUUGUGUCGCUUGCCAAUGAAGAUAUUGGGACUUCUGAUCAAUAAAGUGAUGUUACACAAGCAAAACGACAGAAGGUUUAAAAGACAACGAGGCGAACGUGGUGAAGGAUAACCCAUAA